rnacentral:rRNA from 1 species
GUCGAACGCUGGCGGCGUGCUUAACACAUGCAAGUCGAACGGAAAGGCCCUGCUUGCGGUGUUCUCGUGUUGCGAACGGGUGAGUAACACGUGGGUGAUCUGCCCUCCUCUUCGAGAUAGGUCUCGGCAACUGGCUCUACUUCCUUAUAGGUGCCAUUUUUAUUGUGAUGGUUGGAAAGUUUGUUCGGUGUUUGCUGUGCGGGCGGCCUAUCAGCUUGUUGGUGGGGUAAUGGCCUACCAAGGCGGCUACGGAUAGCCGGCCUGGGUGGGUGGACGGCCACAUGGGGACUGAGGUAGGCCGCAGAAGCCAACGGGAGGCAGAAGGGGGAAAUAUGGCAGAAUGGGGGCGAGCCUGAUGCAGAGAGGCCGCGUGGGGGAUGACGGCCUUCGGGUGGUAAACACCUUUCGCUAGGAACGAAGAUUUUGUGACGGUACCUAAAUAAGAAGCACCGGCUAACUACGUG